AACGAACGCUGGCGGCAGGCUUAACACAUGCAAGUCGAGCGCCCCGCAAGGGGAGCGGCAGACGGGUGAGUAACGCGUGGGAAGCUACCCAGUUCUACGGAAUAACCCAGGGAAACUUGGUCUAAUACCGUAUACGCCCUACGGGGCGAAGAUUUAUUGGAAUUGGGUGGGCCCGCGUGGGAUUAGCUAGUGGGUGGGGUAAUGGCCUACCAAGGCGACGAUCCAUAGCUGGUAUGAGAGGAUGAUCAGCCACACUGGGACUAAGACACGGCCCAGACUCCUACUGGAGGCAGGAGUGGGGAAUAUUGGACAAUGGGCGAAAGCCUGAUCCAGCCAUGCCGCGUGAGUGUUGAAGGCCUUACGGUUGUAAAUCUCUUUCAGUAGGGACGAUAAUGACGUUACCUACAGAAUAAGCACCGGCUAACUUCGUGCCAGCCGCCGCCGUAAUAC
rnacentral:rRNA from 1 species